rnacentral:lncRNA from 1 species
UUUGUCCCUCGCCGCCGCCACUCUCUCCAAAAUCCCACCUCGGGAUCCUCCCAGAUCCCCUUCUCCUCGGUUUCCUCCUCUACCCAAUCCCGAAGGCACUGCGGUCUCCUCUGCUUCCCUCGUCCUUGUUUGAUCCCAGGGGCAGCCACCGCAUCGCUGUUCCCCUGCCUCGGCCUCGCGAUCCCGCGCCUCCCUCCUACAGCCCAUGCAAGUCACCAGGAGGUGGGUUCCCGUGCUGCACAGGAGCUCCUCGUCGCCCGGAUCCGUUCCCCAGGCCGCCGGACCUUCCUGCAAGCGUCCUCGCCGGUGACCAGCAGGUCCCAACGCCACCCUUUUUUUCUUUUCCUGUCUCCUCUGUUACCUGCUCUCGAUCCCCCUCUGUCUCAUGUCCCUGUCUCUCUUCCCGCCAUGGACAGGUACCAACAAACCGUCAGCCACCAGGAGCUCAAGACGCCGCUACUCCUCGCCGGACCGCUGCCUCCGGCUACCUCCACCUCGCCGGUGAGGCCUCGCCGCCGUGCGCCCCUGAUUUUCUCUCUCUCUCUCUCUCUCUCUUUGGCCGCUCUGACCUCUCAUGAUCUCCCCCUUUUCUCUUUGAACAGAAGUAGGAGCUCCCAUGGCCGCCGCCGCCCUGGCUGCCCCAUAGGAGUUCUCUGCCGCCGGAUCGGGUCGCCUCCACCCGGUUCCUCUCGCGCCGACCGCCCGCGCCGGAGUCCUGCGCCAAGCCGCCGCCGUUGCCUCUGUUUCCCGCCGCUGCACCAUGCUGCAACGAACGCCUGCUCGAUCCAACCGCCCCGCGUUGACCGAUCCACUGGCCUGCGCUAGCCCAGCGAGACCUCCUGCAGCCCAGCACCACCAACCGGGCCUUGGCCCAUGGGUGAGCUGCCCCACCUUCUUGUUGGGCUCGUGAUUCAGAUUCGGCCUGACUAAUGUUUUUUUUCGUGCUGCGAUUUUAACAUUAUCCAGUGUAUUUCAGUUUUGCAGAAAACCCCUCAUAUAUCAUACAUUUAAUAACUCAUAAACCAUGCAUCGGUUUAAAAUGAUAUUAACAUGUAAAAUGCUUAGAAUUUUGUGUAGAUUAAUAAUAUUCCACUUUCAUCCAUGUUUAAAAUGUUUAAAAUGUUGUUUGUUUAAAUUUGCUCAAAUGCCAUGCUAAAAUGCUUUAUUUCAUAACUAAAUAACCGUAACUCUGUUUUAAAUAAACUUUAUAUGCAAAUGGGGUGGAAAAAUGCCUAGUUUAACAUGGUCUAGUUUAUUUUCCUGUUUAACAACCUUAAAAUAUGGUUUAGGGCAGAACAGUACCUAAUCGAAAAUAUGCAUAUGGGGAUUUUCUGAAAUUGUUGUUUGUUGUUCCGGCCCCAUUUAAACUUGCCUAGAUAGUUAGUUUACUUAUGUUUCAUCUCUUGCCAUGUUUAACAACAUUUAAUAUUGUUGUGUACCUAAACAAGAGUGAACUAAAUAACUCGAUGUGGUGUUUUGUCAAUAUGCAACUCAUUGCAUAUUGAGCUCCACUUAAUUUGUAGUAUUGUUUGUUGCAUAAGGCCAUGCCAUGCCUCAUUAAACCGGACAUGCAUCAUACUUGAUUGUGCAUCAUGCCAUGAUUAUGCUUGUGUGUUUACCAUGUUGCUUGCUUCUUUCCGGUUUGCUUCUCUUGUUAGCUUCGGUUUCGUUCCGGAGUUGUGAGGAUUCGUUCGACUACGUCCGUUUGUCUUCUUCGUGGACUCGUUCUUCUUCCUUGCAGGAUCUCAGGCAAGAUGACCAUUACCCUCGAUAUCACUUCUAUCUUUGCUUGCUAGUUGCUUCAUUCUAUCGCUAUGAUGCGCUACCUAUCACUUGUUUACCAUGCCUCCCAUAUUGUCAUGUCAGCCUCUAACCUUUUCACCCUUCCUAGCAAACCAUUGUUUGGCUAUGUUACCGCUUUGCUCAGCCCCUCUUAUAGCGUUGUUAGUUGUAGGUGAAGUUGAAGAUUGCUCCAUGAUGGACAGGAUUAUGUUGGGAUAGCACAAUAUCUCUCAUUUAAUUAAUGCAUCUAUAUACUUGGUAAAGGGUGGAAGACUCGGCCUUAUGCCUGGUGUUUUGUUCCACUCUUGCCGCCUUAGUUUCCGUCAUAUCGGUAUUAUGUUCCCGGAUUUUGCGUUCCUUACACGGUUGGGUGAUUUAUGGGACCCCCUUGACAGUUUGCUUUGAAUAAAACUCCUCCAGCAAGGCCCAACAUUGGUUUUAACAUUUGCCACCUAAGCCUUUUUCCCUUGGGUUCUGCAGACUCAAGGGUCAUCUUUAUUUACCCCCCGGGCCAGUGCUCCUCCGAGUGUUGGUCCAAACUAGAGCACCGUGCGGGACCAUUCCUUGGCAACUUGGAUUACGUCAGUUCCUAUACGCUUCACUUAUCCGGUGUGCCUUGAGAACGAGAUAUGUGCAGCUCCUAUCAGGAUUUGUCGGCACAACUGGGCGGCUUUGCUGGUCUUGUUUUACCAUUGUCGAAAUGUCUUGUAAACCGGGAUUCCGAGUCUGAUCGGGUCUUCCUGGGAGAAGGUAUAUCCUUCGUUGAUCGCAAGAGCUUAUCAUGGGCUAAGUUGGGACACCCCUGCAGGGUAUAAACUUUCGAAAGUCGUGCCUGCGUUUAUAGGCAGAUGGGAAUUUGUUAAUGUCCGGUUGUUAGGACCCCGACUCGAUGCCACAUCGAUCUAGCAUGUAACACCUCAUAUCACUUUGCGGCCUCACGCACGGUUUUCCCACGGGUGUCCUCUUACCUUUGCCCGGGACCGUUUGCGCCUUUUGGCACACGUAUAUGAUAGUGUCGCUAGCAUCCAUAUGGUAAGGAGCCCGGGCUGACAUGGCUAGUCGUAAACCCAAAGUGGCACAGACUUACAGGGACAGGCAUCCAUGACCCAGCAUCGAACGUGUCGGUCAUCAGCAAGUGAAUCCAGGCUGUAGCACUGGGCUAGCAGGACUCCGGUAAAUCGGGCUGUAGCGGGCUAACAGGACUCCGGUAUCCAUCGUGUGACAUUUCCCCGAAGGGACAGAAACAGGAACAAAGAAGGACACAUGCCGGCCAGCCUAAGUGUUCCGGAGCAGUAGCAAGCUACCAAGGCUCAGUGGAGACACUAGGAGACAUUUCCCAGUAAGAGAGGCUACUAAGAAUAAACAACUAGAUAGUCAGAUCCCACACAUACCAAGCAUUUCAAUCAUACACACAAUAUGCUCGAUAUGUGCAAAUACAACAAGGCAUCACAACAUGACUCUACGACACCAGUACUUUAUUUAAGGCUCAGAGAGCCAUACAUAUCAUACACACAAGUACGGGUCACACGACCCAGCAUUCAAGUCAUACAGACAUACAAGCCAACAGCGGAAGUAACUUGUCUGGGUACAGACAACUAGUAAAAUAAAAGAGGCUUGGGAAAGCCUGGCUAUACUACGUGGUCCUUCACAAGCUCAGGAUCACCACCUGGGCCUCGGUAUACUCAUCGAUGUCAACUUCUACGAAGAACCCAUCAGAAGGGGUUGCAGCGUCUUCUGAAAAAUGUAAAUUAAAGCAACAUGAGUACAAAGGUACUCAGCAAGACUUACAUCAGAUCCUACAUACAUGCACAUUAUCAAGAAGGGUUGGUGGGGUUAUUGCAGCAAGCCAGCUUUGACUCUUGGCUAAGCUAUCCUACGAUACACCAACUUGAAAUGGUUUUGCGCACACGAGUACACUACUCACCACUUCAAUACACCACCGAGGAUCCACCUCCGUCAUCCUACGGAAGAACCAUCCUUGGCACUCACGCUUAUCUUGAGAUUUUUAGUAGUAUCCAUUUACUUGUCUAUGAACUGUAUAGGAAACCAAGUAGUCCUUUACCGCGGACGCGGCUAUUCGAAUAGAUAAUGUUAACCCUGCAGGGGUGUACUUCUUCAUACACGCUCUCACCACUUACCGCCGUUUACACGACAUGUACUCGGCAACCUUCAAGCGGAAGCCCAACGUGGGUGUCGGCCACGACCUACCUAAACACCUAAUUCUCUAGUCCAGGUUUAUCGCCUAUCCAGGUUCCAUCCGCAGGGAGUCCGGCCGAGGUUUCCACAUACGGCCCCGAACGAUGUGUACAGGGUUCCCGAGAUACCUAACGGGUAUCCGGUACACCGUGCCACAUACCUACCGCAUCACAGCCCACCGCUAUGGUCAGCGCUGUCCACGGCCUCCAGUAGGCUACAAACACCAGAAAUUACUUGCAACUCCUGGACAGAGGACUAGGGUGAAUAAGAAGCCGAGAGGGUCCAUUGGUUUCAGGCCCAAUGCAUGGUAGUAGAUGAUUCUUAAAUCACACAUACAGAUCUCAGUGCUUAAGGACGGCUUCAAUGAAACAACCCACCAUGUACUCCUACAUGGCCUUUCAUCGAUACCUUUACCAAAUCGUGUUCACCACAUCACUCUCAUUACCGGCAUGAUCAUUUCACUCUAGCCCAUCACCCAGAUGAACCAGACCUGACUCGACUCUAAGCAUAGCAGGCAUAGCAAGGUAGGAACAACACAUACAUAUGGCUCAAUCAACUCCUACACAUGCUAGUGGGUUUCAUCUAGUUACUGUGGCAAUGACAGGUCAUGCAGAGGAAAUGGGUUCAACUACCGUAGCACACAGCAGUUUGGAACGCGUUGUCUUAAUGCAGUAAAAGAGAGCAGAAGCGAGAACAUGGGAUUGUAUCGAUAUGAUCAAAUGGUUGGUUGCUUGCCUGAUGGGUCGAUGCACUGAUAUUGUUCUUCGUUGGGGUAAUCACGAUACUCCUCAAGGGCAGGACCUGCCGCAGAGAGCACCGAUACACAACAUCACCAAACAAUAUGCAGUAAUAUGAUGCAUGCAUGAAACAUGGCAAUAUGAGUGUGUUGGGCUAAUGCAACUAAAACCAGAUGGGUUUGAACCAUUUUGAAUCAAAGAUUCAAGUUUCAAACUCAUACAUGGCCCUUAUAAGGUGCUUUAACUUGUUCUGCAAUAAACAGUAGGUUAGCUUGUUUAAACAUGCAUGAAACUAGUACAGAUGGAUAGAUUGGAUUUUUCUGAUCAUUUUUCAUAUAUAACACUUUGCAUUUGGAGUUAUGGUUGAUUUACUAUGAAUUUUUGAAGUUUGGGGGAUUUUCUGGAAUUUAUAAAUCAUUCUAGAUUUAUUUUAAUUCCAGAAAAGGAUUACUGCGUCAGCAUGAUGUCAUGCUGACCUCAGCAGGUCAAUAGGCCGGUCCAGGUCAAACUGACCAGUGGGUCCCGCAUGUCAGCACAAUUAGUUUAGCUAAAAAUUAAUUAGAACUAAACCGGAUUAGUUAACAGGGCUGGGCCCCACCUGUCAUUGACUCAACAGAGUCAACCAGGGCCCACCCGUGGUCAAAGUCAAGUCGGCUGCACCGGCGUUUAGCCGCCGGCGAGCCCGACGCGGCGGCGGAAGUGCUUUGGGCCGUUCCGGCCACCAAAUGGGUCGCGGAAGGCAUCUAAGUGGAGCUGGGGACAAACCGCAGCUCUUGGUGGGGUCGGGGUGGCCAGAAUCGGCGCCGACGAUGACCUAGGUGGCCGCCGGAGUUCGGGUGGAGGCGAACUCGGGGCCAGGGUGUGUGGUGAGGUGUGGGGAGUGUAUGGUUAGACCCUACGCGACGUGGUGAGUGCGAUGGACACUGAGAGGUGACCGGAGGAUGGCCGGGAGCACGUCGGCGACGAUCUCCGCGGUGGUGCGUGCGGGUGAUCUUCGUGCAGUUGCUACACAGCUCGGGGGCGAGAGAGAAAGGGAAGGGGAGGUAGCUAGGCUCACAGGGCACUCGUGGAGGCAACUGGCGGGGUCGGGGAUGGACUGAUGCGGCGACGGCGUUGCAGGGGAUCUCCGGCGACGGCGGACUCGGGUAGAGUCGGUGCGGUGGACUCGGGCCACACGAGCACGCGGGGCUCGGCUAGCUCGACGAAGAGGAUGGCGGCGGAGCUCCUAGACACGGCGAGACGGAGCACGGACGGCGGGGAGCGCGGCUACGGCGAUGGGGCGGCGGCGGUGGCGUCGGCCAUGGCUGGGGAGCACGAGGGAGAGGAGCUGGGGAGGAGAGGAGAUGUCUGAGGGGUUCGGGGGAGAGGGGGGGAGCGAUCUCCAUCAUCAGCUGGACGAGGGGAGCGGCGAGGCGGCGACCAGGUGUGUGGCACCCAUGCGGUGCUCGCCGCCGAGCACCUGCCUGCCUGCCUGGCCGAGCCAAGCAGCUCGCUGGCGCGGCAGCUGGGCUGGGCCGGCAGGUGGGCCGGUUAGUAGGCGCUAGGUAAGGUUUUCUUCCUAUUUUCCUGUUUCUGCUUUAUUCUGUAAGUUUGUGGACUUAUUAAAAAUACCUAGACAACUCCUAAAUUCCCCAAACUGCUCCUGGUCCUUAGUUGGAAUAUUUACAGCAUGGAACAUUUUAGUUUGGAAAUAUUUGAGCAUUCAAAAUAAUUUUAUAUAAUUUAAAUGCCCAAACUCAAAUACUUAUGAGUUAAUUCAAAGACCUUAGGAUGACCUAGAAAACUAUGCAUCACUUUUGGCAGAGGUUCUGAACCAAGACAAAAAUGAUGGACAUUUUGGAAGGGCAUUUCAGGUUCAUUGAAAAUAUUUUUAGUAAACCCUAGUUGGAUUCAGAGGGGGCUGGGGGUUCUGUCAUCCCCAUUUCAAGUUUCUGAUGAAAGAAUAGACAUGAUGCAACACUCUAAUGCAUGAACUAGCUAGGGUGUGACAACUCACCCCCACUCAAAAGAAUCUCGUCCCGAGAUUUAGGUUCCUCCGGAAAGAAGGCGGGGUACUCAAGUCGAAGACGAUCCUCCCUUUCCCAAGUUGCUUCCUUCUCAGAAUGGUGCGACCAUUGAACCUUGAGAAACUUGAUAUUAUGACGUUGAGUGGUACGCUCGGCUUGAUCGAGGAUACGAACGGGGUACUCUCGAUACGUGAGGUUAUCUUGAAGAUCAAGCGUUUCGUGGUCCACUGCACGGAUAGGAUCCGAGAAGCAACGCCUGAGUUGAGAAACGUGGAAGACAUCAUGGACUCUGGAAAGAUGCGGAGGUAAUUCCAAUUGGUAGGCAACUUCUCCUCGUUUAGCGAGAAUGCGAAAGGGUCCAAUGUAGCGAGGAGCCAAUUUGCCUUUGAUACCGAAGCGAUGGGUUCCCUUCAGAGGAGUAACCCGAAGGUAAGCCUUCUCGUCAACCUCAAAGGUCAUAGCCUUAUGUUUUCGGUCGUAUUGACUCUUUUGACGAGAUUGGGCUGUUUUCAACUUUUCAUGAACAAUGCGAACUUGCUCUUCUGCUUCCUGGAUCAUGUCUGGGCCAAAGAAUUGUCUUUCCCCGGUUUCUGACCAGUUAAGAGGCGUUCGACACCUUCGUCCAUAGAGAACUUCAAAAGGGGCUUUACCCAAGCUAGAUUGAUAGCUGUUGUUAUAAGCAAAUUCGGCAAAUGGAAGGCAUUUCUCCCAAUCCAUUCCGAAUGAGAUAACCGAAGCUCGAAGCAUGUCUUCUAGAAUCUGGUUGACACGUUCUACUUGACCACUUGAUUGAGGGUGAAAAGCAGUGCUAAAAGAAAGGCGGGUUCCCAUAGCAUUUUGGAAACUUUCCCAAAAUAGAGAGGUGAAGAGACUUCCUCGAUCGGAGUUAAUUUCCAGUGGAACACCAUGGAGAGACAUUAUUCGGAAGAUGUACAAGUCUACUAAUUGACUAGCGGUUAUACUCUCGCGAACAGGUAAGAAAUGGGCUACUUUGGAAAGACGAUCGACAACGACGAAGAUAGCGUUAUUCCCUCUCUUGGUCCUGGGAAAACCGGUAAUGAAAUCCAUACCAAUUUUAUCCCAUUUCCAUUCGGGAAUAGCUAAGGGUUGAAGGGUGCCAGUAGGCCGCUGAUGCUCUGCUUUUACACGGCGACAGACGUCGCAGCUAGCAACAAACUGAGCAAUGUCUCUCUUCAUCCUAGUCCACCAGAACCUCUGGCGUAGGUCCUGAUACAUCUUAGUACUACCGGGAUGAAUGGUGAGAGGAGAUUCAUGAGCUUCCUUUAGGAUCAAUAGCCUCAGGUUUCGCACUUUGGGAACCACUAGACGGUUCCCGAAGUAUAUGACUCCUUGAUCAUCAAUGGAGAAACAAUUCGCAACUCCUUUCUUGAUGUUUCUUUUGAUGCGGGAAAUCCUCGGAUCUACCUUCUGUGCUUUGAUGAUCUGAUCCGUAAGGGUAGGUUUCGCCACCAAGGUGGAAAGGAAUCCUUGAGGAACAAUGUGAAGGUUAAGCUUCCGAAAUUCCUCAUGGAGAAGCGGUUGACUUUGUUGUAACAUCAGAUUGUUACAAUAAGAUUUACGACUUAGUGCAUCAGCCAUGACGUUGGCCUUUCCUGGGGUGUAAGUUAUUCCUAAGUCGAAAUCUAUGAUCAACUCAACCCAACGUCUUUGCCUGAGAUUCAAAUCCGGUUGGGUGAAGAUGUACUUCAGACUUUGGUGAUCGGUGAAGAUUUCGCAACAAUUACCGAGGAGGUAAUGUCGCCAGGUUUUAAGUGCAUAGACUAUAGCUACAAGCUCUAGAUCAUGAGUAGGAUAAUUCUCCUCAUGUGGGUGUAAUUGCCGUGAAGCAUAAGCAAUUACGUGACGAUCUUGCAUUCUAGUCCUUGUCGCGAGGCGUCGCAAUAGAUAACAAAGUCCUUAGAGAAAUCUGGUGGUACCAAUACGGGAGCAGAUGUCAGGCGUCUUUUCAGUUCCUGAAAGCUGUGCUCACAUUGUGGAGUCCACUCGAACUUUUUAUCUUUCUUGAGGAGUUCAGUUAGAGGUUUGGCAACUUUGGAGAAGUUCUCGACAAAGCGGCGACAAUAGCUCGCUAAGCCAAGGAAACUCCGAACUUGCUUGACCAAUUCAGGUGGAGUCCAAUUAAGGACGGCUCGAACUCGCUCGGGGUUAAUAGCAAUACCUUUACCAAAAAUUACAUGUCCUAGAUAGGUCACUUCUGGCAACCAAAAUUCACAUUUAGAGAACUUGGCAUAAAGGCGAUGCUCUCGAAGUUUCAUCAACACUAGCCUUAGAUGUUCGGCAUGUUCUUCCUCGUUCUUGGAGUAGAUGAGUAUAUCAUUGAGGUAGACCACGACGAAUUUAUCCAAAUACUCCAUGAAGAUUGAGUUCAUUAACCGAGAAAAGGUGGCUGGGGCGUUGGUUAGACCGAAGGACAUGACGGUGUACUCGUAUUGGCCAUAACGAGUAACAAAGGCCGUUUUAGGAAUGUCCCCGUUCCGGAUUUUGAUUUGAUGGUAGCCUAAUCUCAAAUCCAUUUUAGAGAAGACUGAGGAUCCAGCGAGCUGAUCAUACAGGUCGUUGAUCCUGGGGAGUGGAUACUUGUUCUUGAUUGUGACGAGGUUGACUGGUCGAUAAUCUACAACCAUCCGGUCCGUACCAUCCUUCUUCUUGACGAAGAGGACGGGGCAAGCCCAUGGAGACGAACUAGGUCGGAUGAAACCCUUUUUCAAGGACUCAUCGAGUUGUUUCUUAAGCUCGGCUAGUUCUAGUGGUGCCAUCUUAUAGGGUCUUCUAGCAAUCGGGACAGUUCCUGGAAUGAGAUCUAUCACGAACUCAACAUCUCUGUCAGGUGGAACACCUGGCAAUUCCUCUGGGAAGACAUCUGAGAAGUCACGGACUACCGGAAUGUCUUCAAGGUCUGGCAACGGACUGGCAUUAAGAGAAUAUAGCUGUCGCUUAGCUACUCGGGUCAAGACAUUGACUAUCUUUCCCGAAGGAUGUGUGAGUUGAACAGUCCUAGAGAAACAAUCAAUUUUAGCAUGAUGGGCUGACAUCCAGUCCAUGCCCAAAAUGAUAUUAAUAUCCGAAGAUUUGAGAGCUAUCAAAGAUGCGAGAAAAACAAGUCUGUCGACUUGAAUUUCAUUCCCAUGGCUUACUCUAGAAGUUUGCCAUUUGGAUCCCGGGGUUUGAAUUACCAUAGAGGUGGGCAUCUCACAGAAUGUGGUGUUAUGCAGACGAGCAUAGCUCUCGGAUAUAAAUGAAUGAGAUGCUCCUGUAUCGAAAAGAACAGAUGCCAGGUGGCAAUUAACAAGGAGCGUACCAAGAACGACGUUGGGAUCCUCUUGAGCUUCUUCGGCAGAGAUACAGUUGACAUGGCCACGUGCAGCGGUGGCCGGCUUGGCGUAGAACGCUUUCCCUGUCGACUUGCCACGGCCAACAGCUUUUCCAGAUUGGUUGGGGUUGGUCUGGGGACACUCGCGCAGAUAGUGGCCCGGUUCCCCACAUUUAAAGCAAGUCACAGAGCUGGUACGUGGAGGAGCAUUGUUGGUUGGACCACCAUAGGGCUUGGCUGGUGUAAACUAUUGGGCGGGGCGAGGCAAUUGAAAGGAUGGCCUCGGUGUGAACCUGGGUGGCAGGGCAGUGUUAGGCACCCACACGCGGCGCUUCUGAGGACCAGCACCGGAUGAAGAACCCAUGUCACGGCCAUGCUUGCGUGUUGCUUCAAAAUCGGUCUGACCAGACUCAGCACUGAUGGCUUUGUUAACAAGCUUCUGAAAAGAUGUGCACUCAUGCAGACGGAGAUCGCGGCGAAGCUCAGGGCUAAGUCCCUUACGGAACCUUGCUUGCUUCUUGGCAUCAGUAGAGACUUCCUCAGUUGCAUAUCGUGCAACGUUACCGAACUCCCUGUUGUAAGCAUCCAUAGAAAGUCGACCUUGAGUGAAACUGCAGAACUCCUCACGUUUACGGUCCAUGAGACCCUCCGGAAUGUGAUGAUCAUGGAAAGCCUCGCUGAAUUCAGCCCAAGUAGUGACAUGGCCCGCUGGGCGCAUAGCUCCAUAGUUCUCCCACCAUAGACUGGCGGGGCCUUCAAGAUGAUAUGCAGCAAAGGUGACCUUAUCAGCCUCAGCUACUAGCGCAGAACGCAGUUUGUGAGUAAUACUGCGAAGCCAGUCAUCGGCGUCAAGAGGCUCGACGGAGUGGUGGAAAGUGGGUGGAUGUAACUUGAUGAAAUCACUGAGUGACACCAAGUUAUUCCUCUGAUGGUGUGUUGUGUUUUGCUCGAUGCGCUCCAACAAACGGUUAGUCUCCCGCUUGUUUCUCUCGACUUCCAGCAUAACUUCGGCCAGAGAGGGAGGGUGAGGCAGAUUUGUUCCCCCAACUCUGCUGCCUUCGGCCUGCUCUGGGGGAGUAGGGUUGGUGCGGGUGUUAACCAUCCUAGGAAAACAAAGCAAUGGUUUAGUCCAGGAUGAUAGGAUUUUGACAUAGAAAUGUAGAAUGUAAUGGAUAACUUGGAAUGUAAGAUGAUCAUCCGUAUGACAUGGUAGAUACAGAAACUACUUCUUUUAUUCCAUCGUCAUACACACCAUACAAGGUUUAGUAUAGAACCAAACAAAGUACUGCUAUGGUGAAAUUAGGAUUACAUCUCAUCGGAGGCAUUCCGAGCUCCUAUACAUUUUUUUUCUACAUCUUCGGAAGGCGGUACAAACUAAGGCAUAUCCCACGAGUCACGCAGGACGGUGGACGAUAUAGCUAGUACGACACUAGUGAUACUACUACUAACUCAGACAGCUCCGUAGUAGUCUUCAUAGAAGUCACCUCCAUAGCCUGGAAGCUCAACGUGAUCAUCCGGAAAUAGUCGGUCCCGUGGAGCUUGUGGACCAUAGGGGCUAGGAUGAGGUCUUGGGCCAAUAAACGGUGGCCUACGGGGACCACGAGGUCGGGUGAUGCCUCCUACAUCAUGCCAAUCCAUCACGUCUGGCAGAGCAGAUCUCACAGGAUAGAGAUCUCGCAUAUCCAUAUAUCCAGCUUGCACAGUCGGUGCAAACCGAGUCAAAGUGGCCCAAUGAUCAGCAUGGGUAUUGAAAAGCUCUAACCUCAAGGCCCGAUUUUCACGGUCCUUGUCUUCAAGCAACUGUGCAGUGGUGUGGGUCCGUGAAUCCUCCUGGGUGGAGUCAGCAUAGAUAGCCUGGAGAUACCCUUGUGCUCCUGUAAGUGAUGCUGGCAUAUACCGGAAAUCAGAGUCCCGAAAUAGGCCAGUCCUGACUCGCAUGAUGGUCAUCAUAGAGUAGGCAGCAUCCUGCACAGCCAUCUCAAUAGUAACCCCGAGUCCAUAGGAGCAGUGAAGGGGCUCGGUAGAUCCAGGAUAAGAUGGAAAUAUCCUGACAGUGCAAAGAUAUUGACUUUGAUUAAAGUCUCGGAAUUGCUCUUCAACCGUGUACUCAGGAUACCAACGGUAUCCAGCCUCGGUCAUUACCCUGACCAACAUAGCAGUAUGGCCGGGUACAUCUAGACAUCGAGUCAAACGAACCACUUGAUUCUGAGGACGGGACGCCAUCUGGAACAUGAUAAACACAAGACAUUAAAAUUCCUAGCAAAAAUUGGAUAGCAUAACGGCUGUAAAUGCUCAAAAAGGAUUUUGAGGCAUUUGACAAAGAAUUGCAUAGACACUCAACAACAUCAUAUCAAAGUUCUGGGUCCAUCUUAGCAACAUAAUGGGAUAGUAGAACUGAACUAGGCUUGUAUGCAUCAAACCUAUAAGGUACUACUGAUUAGUAACACGUGAAGUUGAUAGAGAGGAGAGAUCCUAGUCCUUAACCCCCGGUAGAAGAAUAGACUGACUCAGAUCAGAAUGUCAUGAGAUAGAGGAGUAAAAAGAGCCUUACGUUCCAUCCCACAAUCAAUUCCCCUAUAUAUAACUAAAGAAUUUCUAGACUCAACAUCGACCAGUUUGGCUUGGAGAACCUACAGGCAGUCCGGCUCUGAUGCCAACGCUGUCAGGACCCCGACUCGAUGCCACAUCGAUCUAGCAUGUGACACCUCAUAUCACUUUGCGGCCUCACGCACGGUUUUCCCACGGGUGUCGUCUUACCUUUGCCCGGGACCGUUUGCACCUUUUGGCACACGUAUAUGAUAGUGUCGCUAGCAUCCAUAUGGUAAGGAUCCCGGGCUGACAUGGCUAGUCGUAAACCCAAAGUGGCACAGACUUACAGGGACAGGCAUCCAUGACCCAGCAUCGAACGUGUCGGUCAUCAGCAAGUGAAUCCGGGCUGUAGCACUGGGCUGGUAGGACUCUGGUAAACCGGGUUGUAGCGGGCUAACAGGACUCCGGUAUCCAUCGCGUGACAUUUCCCCGAAGGGACAGACACAGGAACGAAGAAGGACACAUGCCGGCCAGCCUAAGUGUUCCGGAGCAGUAGCAAGCUACCAAGGCUCAGUGGAGACACUAGGAGACAUUUCCCAGUAAGAGAGGCUACUAAGAAUAAACAACUAGAUAGUCAGAUCCCACACAUACCAAGCAUUUCAAUCAUACACACAAUAUGCUCGAUAUGUGCAAAUACAACAAGGCAUCACAACAUGACUCUACGACACCAGUACUUUAUUUAAGGCUCAGAGAGCCAUACAUAUCAUACACACAAGUACAGGUCACACGACCUAGCAUUCAAGUCAUACAGACAUAGAAGCCAACAGCGGAAGUAACUUGUCUGGGUACAGACAACUAGUAAAAUAAAAGAGGCUUGGGAAAGCCUGGCUAUACUACGUGGUCCUUCACAAGCUCAGGAUCACCACCUGGGCCUCGGUCUACUCAUCGAUGUCAACGUCUACGAAGAACCCAUCAGAAGGGGUUGCAGCGUCUUCUGAAAAAUGUAAAUUAAAGCAACAUGAGUACAAAGGUACUCAGCAAGACUUACAUCAGAUCCUACAUACAUGCACAUUAUCAAGAAGGGUUGGUGGGGUUAUUGCAGCAAGCCAGCUUUGACUCUUGGCUAAGCUAUCCUACGAUACACCAACUUGAAAUGGCUUUGCGCACACGAGUCCACUACUCACCACUUCAAUACACCACCGAGGAUCCACCUCCGUCAUCCUACGGAAGAACCAUCCUCGGCACUCACGCUUAUCUUGAGAUUUUUAGUAGUAUCCAUUUACUUGUCUAUGAACUGUAUAGGCAACCAAGUAGUCCUUUACCGCGGACGCGGCUAUUCGAAUAGAUAAUGUUAACCCUGCAGGGGUGUACUUCUUCAUACACGCUCUCACCACUUACCGCCGUUUACACAACAUGUACUCGGCAACCUUCAAGCGGAAGCCCAACGUGGGUGUCGGCCACGACCUACCUAAACACCUAAGUCUCUAGUCCAGGUUUAUCGCCUAUCCAGGUUCCAUCCGCAGGGAGUCCAGCCGAGGUUUCCACAUACGGCCCUGAACGAUGUGUACAGGGUUCCCGAGAUACCUAACGGGUAUCUGGUACACCGUGCCAUGUACCUACCGCAUCACAGCCCACCCCUACGGUCAGCGCUGUCCACGGCCUCCAGUAGGCUACAAACACCAGAAACUACUUGCAACUCCUAGACAGAGGACUAGGGUGAAUAAGAAGCCAAGAGGGUCCAUUGGUUUCGGGCCCAAUGCAUGGUAGUAGCUGAUUCUUAAAUCACACAUACAGAUCUCAGUGCUUAAGGACGGCUUCAAUGAAACAACCCACCAUGUACUCCUACAUGGCCUUUCAUCGAUACCUUUACCAAAUCGUGUUCACCACAUCACUCUCAUUACCGGCAUGAUCAUUUCACUCUAGCCCAUCACCCAGAUGAACCAGACCUGACUCGACUCUAAGCAUAGCAGGCAUAGCAAGGUAGGAACAACACAUACAUAUGGCUCAAUCAACUCCUACACAUGCUAGUGGGUUUCAUCUAGUUACUAUGGCAAUGACAGGUCAUGCAGAGGAAAUGGGUUCAACUACCGUAGCACACAGCAGUUUGAAACGUGUUGUCUUAAUGCAGUAAAAGAGAGCAUAAGGAGAACAUGGGAUUGUAUCGAUAUGAUUAAAUGGUUGGUUGCUUGCCUGAUGGGUCGAUGCACUGAUAUUGUUCUUCGUUGGGGUAAUCAUGAUACUCCUCAGGGGCAGGACCUGCCGCAGAGAGCACCGAUACACAACAUCACCAAACAGUAUGCAGCAAUAUGAUGCAUGCAUGAAACAUGGCAAUAUGAGUGUGUUGGGCGAAUGCAACUAAAACCAGAUGGGUUUGAACCAUUUUGAAUCAAAGAUUCAAGUUUCAAACUCAUACAUGGCCCUUAUAAGGUGCUUUAACUUGUUCUGCAAUAAACAGUAGGUUAGCUUGUUUAAACAUGCAUGAAACUUGUACAGGUGGAUAGAUUGGAUUUUUCUGAUCAUUUUUCAUAUAUAACACUUUGCAUUUGGAGUUAUGGUUGAUUUACUAUGAAUUUUUGAAGUUUGGGGGAUUUUCUGGAAUUUAUAAAUCAUUCUAGAUUUAUUUUAAUUCCAGAAAAGGAUUACUGCGUCAGCAUGAUGUCAUGCUGACCUCAGCAGGUCAACAGGCCGGUCCAGGUCAAACUGACCAGUGGGUCCCGCAUGUCAGCACAAUUAGUUUAGCUAAAAAUUAAUUAGAACUAAACCGGAUUAGUUAACAGGGCUGGGGGUUCUGUCAUCCCCAUUUCAAGUUUCUGAUGGACAUUUUGGAAGGGCAUUUCAGGUUCAUUGAAAAUAUUUUUAGUAAACCCUAGUUGGAUUCAGAGGGGGCUGGGGGUUCUGUCAUCCCCAUUUCAAGUUUCUGAUGAAAGAAUAGACAUGAUGCAACACUCUAAUGCAUGAACUAGCUAGGGUGUGACACCGGUUGUAGAUAACUUGACACCAGAUCCGAAUUAAAACGCAUCAACCGCGUGUGUAGCCGUGAUGGUCUCUUUUCGGUGGAGUCCGGGAACUGAACACGGUUUUGGGUUAUGUUUGACGUAAGUAGGAGUUCAGGAUCACUUCUUGAUCAUUGCUAGCUCCACGACCGUUCCAUUUGCUCUCUUCUCGCUCUUAUUUGCGUAUGUUAGCCACCAUAUCUUUCUUAGUCGCUGUUGCAACCUCACCACUUUACCCCUUCCUUUCCCUUUAAGCUUUGCUAGUCUUGAUACCCAUGGUAAUGGGAUUGCUGAGUCCUCGUGGCUCACAGAUUACUACAACAACAGUUGCAGGUACAGGUUAUGCGAUGAUCAUGACGCAAGAGCGAUGCUUGCUUGUUUUGGAGUUCUUCUUCUGCUUCUUCUUUGAUCAGGAGAUAGGUUCCAGGUCGGCAGCCUGGGCUAGCAGGGUGGAUGUCGUUUGAGUUUUUGUUUGUGAUUCAUCCGUAGUCGGAUGAUGCUCUUAUGUAUUGUGAUGUUGUAUUCGUGUGGCAUUGUAUACCUCUUGUAUGUAUCCCCAUCUAUUAUGUAAUGUUGAUGUAAUGCUAUCCACCUUGCAAAAGUGUUUCAAUAUGCGGUUCUAUCCUUGGUGGGACCUUCUAGUCUCUUUAGGAUAGUAUCGCAUAUUGGGCGUGACAUUAUGUUGUUGUCCUUUGGUGCCCAUCAUAUGAGCGCGCGCGUGGAUCACACCAUAGGGUUAGUUGUAUGUUGAUAGGACUAUGUAUUGGAGGGCUAGAAUGACAGAAGCUUCAACCUAGCAUAGAAAUUGAUGCAUACGGGAUUGAAGGGGGACCAAUAUAUCUUAAUGUUAUGGUUAGGUUUUACCUUAAUGAACGUUAGUAGUUGCGGAUGCUUGCUAAUAGUUCCAAUCAUAAGUGCAUAGAAUUCCAAGUCAGGGAUGACAUGCUAGCAGUGGCCUCUCCCACAUAAAACUUGCUAUCGGUCUAGUGACAUAGUCAAUUGCUUAGGGACAAUUCCACAACUCCUACCACCACUUUUCCACACUCGCUAGAUUUACUUUAUUGCAUAUUUAUCUAAAGAUCCCCUACUUUUUAUUUAUGUGUUCUUUAUUAUCUUGCAAACCUAUCAUAUCACACCUACAAAGUACCUCUAGUUUCAUACUUGUUCUAGGUAAAGCGAACGUCAAGCGUGCGUAGAGUCGUAUCAGUGGCCGAUAGGACUUGAGAGAGUAUUUGUUCUACCUUUAGCUCCUCGUUGGGUUUGACACUCUUACUUAUCGAAAGAGGCUACAACUAUCCCGUAUACUUGCGGGUCAUCAGGUUGUCAGUAUUUGCAGGUUGUGAAUUGUGUUUUGUGUUGUGUAUUUUGAGAGUACUUUCAGAUAUGAAUUUCUUUUGAAUUUCAAAUUUGCAAUAUUGAGCAUAUGAAGUAUUUUAUGAAUUCUAGAGAUCUAUUUUUAGCACUUAAAAAAUGUAGUUUCAUAGGAGUAUAAAAGUGCAGACAAUGUGAUUCUCAGAGAAGAAACUGCAAGUUUCAGUUUAAGAUAAGAAAUUGCAAGUUCAGUUUUAGAUAAGAAACUGCAACUUUCAGAGGCAGAGCAUUUAUAUUAACACGGCCUUUUCAAACAAGGUUAACAUCAUGUUGGAAGUUUUAUUCAUGGUCGAAAAUGGAACUACCAGCCAGUUAACAUCAUGCUGAUCAACAUUCAUGCAUAGCACAUCUUCAUAUGAUGCACAGUCAAAAAGAUAUGCUAUUUUCAAAAUGCCAACACAAUGUCGAGUGUGCGAAACAUAGAGAAAACGAGGGACGAAGUUUUGGCAAGUGUUGGACGUGGUGUGCAUAGAUGAUAGUGGGGACCCACAUGUCAAUAUAGGCAGAGGCAAAAAAAUUGGAGAUAUUUUCCCUGCACAGGUGGAAUCGAACCCGGGCGGAACAGCUGUCGGGUAGUGUCACUUGGCCACUAGGCUAGUUCAGUAGUUUCGUUAAUAAUAAGGCAGUUCCUCAGGUAGUCGGAUCCCCUCCUGCGCCUUUGUGCACUCGCCGCGACGCCGCUGUCUACCAUUGUGAACAUGCUGAACAAACGAGAGGAAUCUAGAGAGGACUAUACGUGGAGAGGCGGACAGUCGGGACCCAUCAGGUCUAUGGCCGUAGGCAAGCAAGUGCCUCAUCGAAAAAAUACUUCCUCCUAAUGCUAUACUGACAUUGGGGCCAAAUCUGCACCUAAGAGCAAUACCAGGAGUAUACCAGCUGCUGAUAAGAACAAGGCCCCAGUGCCUGAAGUUGCUGCUGAGGAAGAUGAAGAAGGACAACUCCUAAAGAAGCUCAAACCCAAGAUUCUAGACCACAAUGAUGCUCAUCCAGUGGCUGAAAAUAUGAAGCUAAGGAAGGAUGCAGGGCUCAGGCAAUGGAGAUUGUCUGAUCCAUACGCAAUUAGGAGGAGAACUGUUGUAGAUUGCAGGUUCCACACUAAGGAACAGCAGGACUUCUAUGAGAAUGUGUUGUUGGAUAAGAAGCCCAUAGUCUAUGACAUGAGGUGGGUGGACUGGAAAUACAUGAAGGCCAAUGAGGAUCAUUACCCAGGAGUGUAUGAUAGCUUUAAGGCUUGUGGAGUUGAUGAGUUUGUUGGACAGAAGUUCACAAACUGGAAUGAUGAGCUAGUUAUGCAAUUCUACUCCACAGCUCAUUUUUAUCCUGAUGGCAGGAUUGUCUGGAUGUCUGAAGGUACAAGGUACCAAUCAACUAUUGAGGAAUGGGCCAAUUUGAUUAAUGCCCCGGAGGAGAAGGAAGAUGACUUGGAUGUCUACUCCAAGAAGAAGAAGGAUCACAAUUCCAUGUCUCAUAUGUACAAGGAGAUCCCAGACAAGGCCCUUGAAACUUUCAAGUUUGGGUCUGUCCACUUUCUUCUGCUAGGGCUACCAAUAAUCAACUGGAUUCUUAGGCACACUCUUUUGCCCAAGUCAGGUGACCACAACAUGAUCAGAGUGCAUGCAAUCAAUAUGCUUCACUUUUUUUAUGUGCCACAGAGAUUCAAGGUCAUGAGCCUCAUAGUUGAGACUAUCAAGAGGAUAGUAGCAAACCAAAAGAGAAGUUGUGGAUAUGCCCCACAAAUCCAGGAGCUGAUCAACUCAAAGAUGGGCACAAGAAAGUAUCUGUUGGAUAAGGAACACUUUGUUCUCUAUCCAGACUUUGAGGACAAUCAAGUUGUCAUGAAUGAGGAUGACCCAUCAUCAGUGCAAGCUCAAGAGAAGAAGGAGAAAACAAAGAAAGAGAAGGCUGCCAAGAUGCCAACUCUAGAGGAGGCAUCUGAAUACUUUUUGAAGAGCAAGCAGGACCAACUUGGUUACUUGAUAGCAUCAACUCUAAGGAUUGAGAAGGGGUUGGCCACCCUAACUCAAAACCAGGAGAGCCUGGAAAGAAUCAUGGAACAAAAAUUCUAUGAUUUAGAUGUCAAAGUAACUGAGAUUCAGUCAGUUGUGGAGCAGCUAUAGGAUGACAUGCAGGAGAGGAAGGGCAGGACAACUACUGAUGCAUUUGCCAGAGUGCCUCGAGCUCAGAGAUCAGCUGCAGAGCCAGUGACAGACGCCAGAGCCACUUCAUCUGCACCAGCAACAGCUCCAGUGCAACCAGCUCCAGCACCAACUCCUUCAGCUCCAUCCACAUCAACUUAAGUCUUCGUCCAAGGAGCCAUCUCUACACCACCAACUGAAGACCAAGCCUGAGAGACGAUAUAGUACUAUGCAUUUUCUAGGAACUUUUUGGUAACUUGUUGCCAAAGGGGGAGAAAAAUGUAUAGAUCAUAGGCUUCGAGAGAGAGAGAGUUUGCUUUUGUUCUCUCUUGUCUUCUUGGUUGAACUUUGUUUCCUUUUGCUUGCUUGAGAUACUAUGCUAUUAUCUGUGAGACAUUGAUGAUCAUGUGUUUGAUCAUAAGCUACACUUAUGCUUGUUAGAUGAUAUUAUCUUAUUUAUCCUUAUAUGAUCAUCCACUUUGCUUGGUGAUGAGUGCAUGUAUUCAAUCUUUAUUAUUUUGAGCGCUCCACCAAGAUGUAUGUGACAUGGAAGAGUAACCCAUGAGCCUAAUUCCUUGUGCAUUUGCAGUCCAAAGCAAAUCUUAAACUAUGCACAAAUUUAGGGGGAGCUCUUGCUUAUCACAUACUUCUCAAAGCGACGAUGUUUUUCAAUCUUAUUAUCAUUUGUCGAAGCUUUGAUCUAUAUGUUGUCAUCAAUUACCAAAAAGGGGGAGAUUGAAAGUGCAACUAUCCCUAGGUGGUUUUGGUAAUUCAUAUCAACAUAUAGCUCAUUGAGCUAAUACUAUUCCAAGACUAAUAUUUCAGGAAAGCUCAAUGAAUGGCAUGGCAUGGAUGAUGAAAGUGGAUCCCUCAAAAUAUUAAGGACAAAAGGAUUGGCUCAAGCUCAAAAGCUCAAGACUCUACAUUUUAUAUUUUAGUGAUCCAAGAUCACAUUGAGUCUAUAGGAAAAGCCAAUACUAUCAAGGAGGGAUGAGGUGUUGCUUAAUGAGCCUCUUGCUUCAAGUGCUUAGUGAUAUGCUCCAAAAACCCUCAACUACUUUCUCAUAUCCACAUAUGACCUAAACCUAAAGUCAAAAUUGGUCCCACCGAUUCUUUCUAUCCGGCGCCACCGAGUUCAAAUGUCAUAGCCACUGCCACAAACCCUAGGCAAAUCGGUCUCACCGAUAGGGAUCUCGGUCUCACCGAGAUGGGAUUGUAAUCUCUCUGUUUCCCUUCGUAACGUUUCGGUCUAACUGAAGUGAGCGAUCGGUCCCACCGAGAUUGCAAUGCAAACUCUCUAUUGCCCUUUCGUAACAUUUCGGUCUCACCGAAAAGAGCGAAUCGGUCCCACCGAGUUUACCUGACCAACUCUCUGGUUAGCUAAUUACCAAAAUCGGUCUCACCGAGUUUGUGUAAUCGGUCUCACCGAGAUUACGUUAUGCCCUAACCCUAAUCAUAUCGGUCCCAUCGAAUUGCAUGUCGGUCCCACCGAAAUCACUAACGGUCACUAGGUUUACUAAAUCGGUCUGACCGAGUUUGUUGAUUCGGUCCCACCGAGAUUGGUAAAUUGUGUGUAACGGUUAGAUUUUGUGUGGAGGCUAUAGAUACCCCUCCACCUCCUCUUCAUUCGUGGAGAGAGCCAUCAGAACAAACCUACACUUUGAACUUACCAUUUUUGAGAGAGAACUACCUAUUCAUGUGUUGAGGCCAAGAUAUUCCAUUCCUACCAUAUGAAUCUCGAUCUCUAGCCUUCCCAAUGUUGCUUUCCACUCAAAUCUUCUUUCCACCAGAUCCAAAUCCUAUGAGAGAGAGUUGAGUGUUGGGGAGACUAUCAUUUGAAGCACAAGAGCAAGGAGUUCAUCAUCAAUGCACCAUUUGUUACUUCUUGGAGAGUGGUGUCUCCUAGAUUGGCUAGGUGUCACUUGGGAGCCUCCGACAAGAUUAUGGAGUUGAACCAAGGAGUUUGUAAGGGCAAGGAGAUCGCCUACUUCGUGAAGAUCUACCGCUAGUGAGGCAAGUCCUUCAUGGGCGACGGCCAUGGUGGGAUAGACAAGGUUGCUUCUUCGUGGACCCUUCUUGGGUGGAGCCCUCCAUGGACUCGCGCAACCAUUACCCUUCGUGGGUUGAAGUCUUCAUCAACGUGGAUGUACGAUAGCACCACCUAUCGGAACCACGACAAAAACAUCUGUGUCUCCAAUUGCGUUUGAAUUCUCCAAACCCUUCCCUUUACUUUCUUGCAAGUUGCAUGCUUUACUUUCCGCUGCUCACAUACUCUUUGCAUACUUUCUUGAAUUGUGUGAAGAUUGCUUGACUUUUGCAAAGAUAGCUAAAAUCUGCCAAAGUCUAAAAUUGGGAAAAGGUUAAGUUUUUAAUUGGUCAAGUAGUCUAAUCACCCCCCCCCCCUCUAGACAUACUUCAAGGUCCUACAACGGCCUUGUGUUCGACCAGCCACAUUCGAAACAGGAUCAUGUUCAUCGGGAGGGGUUUGGCGUACCGCAAAACGGAGGAAACGGACUUGUGUUGAACCUCCUACAGUCGAAACGGGGUCCUGUUGAUCGGGAGGGGUGUGGCGUACCACAAAACAGAGGAAACGGACUUGUGUUGGAGCGCUACAGUCGAAACGAGGGUCCUGUUCAUCGGGAGGGGUGUGGCCUACCGCAAAACGGGACUCCACGGGAUACUGUUCAUCUCCACCGUCGACCUCCUCCAGCCUCCACGGGCUACUGUUCAUCCACCGUCAACCUCCUCCAGCCUCCACCUGCGACUUUUCAUCCACGGACUCUUGUUCAUCUAGCCUCCACCAUGUGCUACUCCACCGGCUACUAGUCAACCAGCCCUCUCCAUGGGCUCCUGUUCAACCACCCCUCCAUGGGCUACUGGUCAUCCACCCCUCCACCUUCUACUAUUCAUCCAUCCCUCCACGGGGUCGUCCUGUUCAUCCAGCCCUCCACGGGGUCCUGUUCAUCCAGCCCCAACCGGCUCGAUCGAUCGGGGUCAUGUUCAUCUAGAGGCAACACCACGAGGUCAUGUUCAUCCACCCCCACUACUCACUGUUUAUCCAAACCCCCCAGCAAUGCUCACUGUUCAUCCAGAGGCAGCAUCGAUCGGCUUCAGUUAGCAGCAGUAGCGAAGGAAUCGCUCGAUCGGGUUCAGUUAACAACCAUCGAUCGAUUGCUCGGGUUCAGUAACGUGUAGCUUGCAGUGCAAUCGCUUGGGUUUAGUAGUCGAACGCCUUGCUCGGGUUCAGUUAGAGCCCAACGCCUCGCACCCACGUGCGUGCGUGUAUGAGAGAAACGCACAAACCUCCGUGCAUCGCUCGGCCCCGACCACCCAUCGUAACCGGGAACACCCCGAUAUUUUCCUCGACCUCACUUCUACCACGGUUUUUUCCAUCAGGGACGGCCCAAAGACUGUCAUGCAGCUGCGUCUCCGGCCCGCCCAGGACGAAAAGCCUAUUUUCUGUCAUGAUUUUUUGUCAUAGAAGUAGGAGCCCACCACAUCUAUGAUGAUAUCGGGUUUUGUCACAAUUAUUGUCAUAGACGUGUCAUAAGUAUGACAGAAAAAAUUCGUUCAGCCCAAAAUGUCACGGAUGUGUCUUUUUUAUAUAGUGUGAAGUUUGCUAUAGCGAACUUGGCUGUGCACUGGUGAUCAACAGGGAAGAGCUAUGAGACAAAGAUGAUGUCUGCGGUGAUUAACUAAGGAAUGACUACAAUUGAGGGAGUUCCGGACUAGGGGGUGUCCGGAUAGCCGAACUAUCAUCAUCGGCCGGACUCCAAGACUAUGAAGAUACAAGAUUGAAGACUUCGUCCCGUGUCCGGAUGGGACUUUCCUUGGCGUGGAAGGCAAGCUUGGCGAUACGGAUAUGUAGAUCUCCUACCAUUGUAACCGACUUUGUGUAACCCUAGCCCUCUCCGGUGUCUAUAUAAACCGGAUGGCUUUAGUCCUUAGGACGAACAACAAUCAUACCAUAGGCUAGCUUCUAGGGUUUAGCCUCAUUGAUCUCGUGGUAGAUCCACUCUUGUAACACACAUCAUCAAUAUUAAUCAGGCAGGACGUAGGGUUUUACCUCCAUCAAGAGGGGCCGAACCUGGGUAAAACAUCGUGUCCCUUGUCUCCUGUUACCAUCCGCCUAGACGCAUAGUUCGGGACCCCCUACCCGAGAUCCGCCGGUUUUGACACCGACAUUGGUGCUUUCAUUGAGAGUUCCUCUGUGUCGUCACCGAUAGGCUCGAUGGCUUCUCCGACCGUCAUCAACGACGCAGUCCAGGGUGAGACCUUUCUUCCCGGACAGAUCUUUGUAUUCGACGGCUUUGCACUGCGGGCCAAUUCGCUUGGCCAUCUGGAGCAGAUCGAAAGCUACGCCCCUGGCCGUCAGGUCAGAUUUGGAAGUUUGAACUUCACGGCUGACAUCCGCGGGGACUUGAUCCUCGAUGGAUUCGAGCCACAGCCGAGCAUGCCGCACUGUCACGGCGAGCAUGAUUUAGCUCUGCAGCCGGACAGUACCCCGGAGGCCGCACUCGAACUCGCCCCGAUCUUCAAUUCGGAGCCGGCUGCGCAAAUCGAGGAUGGAUGGCUAGACACCGCCUCGAGGGCUGCAACCUCUACGGCGAUAGAGCCGAACACUGACCUUGUCCCUCAUAAAGCUCGUGACUCCAAGGCGCCGGACUCCUUGCCGGACUACGAACCUCCCGCGCCCCCUCCGAUCGAAUCCGACUGGGCGCCAAUCAUGGAGUUCACCGCAGCGGACAUCUUUCAACACUCACCUUUUGGCGACAUCUUGAGUUCGCUAAAAUGUCUCUCAUUAUCAGGAGAGCCCUGGCCAGACUGCGGUCAGGACCAUUGGGAUGCGGACGACGAAGAAAUUCAAAGCCCACCCACCACCCACUUGGUAGCCGAUGUCGACGAUUUAACCGACAUGCUAGACUACGACUUUGAAGACAUCGACGGUAUGGAUGACGAUGCCGGAGACGAACAAGAACCAGCGCCUACCGGGCACUGGAAAGCCACCUCAUCAUACGACAUAUACAUGGUGGAUAUCCCAAAGGAUGGGAAUGGCGGAGGAACAGAGGAGGAUGACCCCUCCAAGAAACAGCCCAAGCGCCGGCGUCAGCGGCGCCGGUCUAAAUCCCGCCACAGCAAGAAUGAAGAUUCCGGCACCGGAGAUAACAAUACACUGAAUAGUGCCGAAGACAACCCACUCCAGCAAGAUCCAGCGCAGGAGGAUGGAAACGCCAGCCCUCAUGAGAGAGCGGCAGAAGAAGAGGUAGAGGAUUAUAUGCCUCCCUCCGGAGACGAAGCAAGCCUCGACGAUGAUGAAUUCGUCGUGCCUGAGGAUCCCGUCGAACAAGAGCGUUUUAAACGCAGGCUUAUGGCCAUGGCAAACAGCCUCAAGAAAAAGCAGCAACAGCUUAGAGCUGAUCAAGAUCUGCUAGCCGACAGAUGGACUGAAGUCCUCGCGGCCGAAGAGCAUGAGCUCGAACGCCCCUCCAAAAGCUACCCUAAACGCAAGCUGCUCCCCCGAUUAGAGGAGGAAGCGUAUGAACCCGCAUCACCAGGAGACAAUAGGCUGACCGACCACUCCGUUGUCGCGACAGAGAGGCCUCUAGGCCCUUCACUAGACCCGUACUCUGGCACCGCUCGAAAAGCACAAGACCACAGGGGAACGCUCCGGACUUGCGAAAUAUAUUGGAGGAUAAGGCAAGACAAUCAAGAUCGAUUUAUGGAUCGUGUGGGCGUCCCACGGUACGUGACGACAACCGUCGCGCCGGACACAGUAAGUCCGGCCGGGCCGAACAAAAUAGACAAAGCUCUUUUGAGCUCCGUCAUGAUAUCGCCCAGUACAGAGGCACGGCACACCCACUAUGCUUCACAGAUAAAGUAAUGGAUCAUCAAAUCCCCGAAGGGUUUAAACCCGUGAAUAUCGAAUCUUACGAUGGCACAACAGACCCCACGGUUUGGAUCGAAGACUAUCUUCUUCACAUCCACAUGGCCCGCGGUGACGAUCUUCACGCCAUCAAAUAUCUCCCCCUCAAGCUUAAAGGACCAGCCCGGCAUUGGCUUAACAGCCUGCCAGUAGAGUCAAUUGGGAGUUGGGAAGACCUGGAAGCCGCAUUCCUCGAUAACUUCCAAGGCACGUAUGUGCGACCACCAGACGCUGAUGACCCAAGCCAUAUAACUUAGCAGCCAGACGAAUCGGCCAGACAAUUCUGGACACGGUUCUUAACCAAGAAAAACCAAAUCGUCGAUUGUCCGGAUGCGGAGGCUCUCGCAGCCUUCAAGCAUAACAUCCGCGAUGAGUGGCUUGCCCAGCACCUGGGACAGGAAAAGCCGAAAUCCAUGGCAGCCCUUACAUCACUCAUGACCCGCUUUUGCGCGGGUGAGGACAGCUGGCUAGCACGCAGCAACAACCUCAGCAAAAAUUCUAGCAGUCCGGAUUUCAAGGACCGGAAUGGCAGGUCGCGUCGUAACAAAAGCAAGCGCCGCAUUAACGGCGACAAUAGUGAGGAUACGGCAGUCAAUGCCGGAUUCAGAGGCUCCAAACCCGGUCAGCGGAACCAUUCAAAAGAACUGCUCCGGGUCCGUCCAAUUUGGACCGAAUACUCGACCGCUUGUGCCAGAUACACAGCACCCCCGAAAAGCUAGCUAACCACACCAAUAGGGACUGUUGGGUAUUCAAGCAGGCAGGCAAGUUAAUUGCCGAAAACAAUGACAAGGGGCUGCAUGGCGAUGACGAGGAAAAGACCCGACCGCCGAACAAUAGAGGACAGAAGGGUUUCCCCCCACAUGUGCGGAGGGUGAACAUGAUAUACGCAACGCACAUACCCAAAAGGGAGCGGAAGCAUGCACUCAGGGAUGUAUACGCGAUGGAGCCAGUCGCCCCGAAGUUCAAUCCAUGGUCCUCCUGCCCGAUCACUUUUGACCGAAGGGACCACCCCACCAGCAUCCGCCAUGGCGGAUUCGCCGCAUUGGUCUUAGACCCAAUCGUCGAUGGAUUUCACCUCACUAGAGUCCUGAUGGACGGCGGCAGCAGCCUGAACCUACUUUAUCAGGAUACAGUGCGCAAAAUGGGCAUAGACCCCUCAAGGAUUAAACCUACCAAGACGACCUUUAAAGGCAUCAUACCAGGUGUAGAAGCCAAUUGUACAGGCUCAGUUACACUGGAAGUGGUCUUUGGAUCCCCGGAUAACUUCCGCAACGAGGAGUUAAUCUUCGACAUAGUCCCAUUCCGCAACGGCUAUCAUGCCUUGCUCGGACGUACCGUGUUUGCAAAGUUCAACGCGGUGCCGCACUAUGCAUACCUCAAGCUCAAGAUGCCAGGCCCUAGAGGAGUCAUCACGGUCAACGGAAACACUGAACGUUCUCUCCGAACGGAGGAACAUACAGCGGCUCUCGCGGCAGAAGUACAAUGCAGCCUCUUAAGGCAAUUCUCGAGUCCGGCCAUUAAGCGGCCGGACAUAGCUAAGCGCGCCUGGAGUAACCUACAACAAGACCACCUGGCACGUUCCGAGCACGCGUAGCAGUGCGGCCCCAACCCCAGCCCCUAUAAAACGUCCAAACAGGUCCUUCGCGUACACCGUUCCGCUCUGAAGAUACCAUGGGCAUGGGGAGAGGGGCACGACCACAAUAAGCCCAGACUGCGGCUCAACCACACCAGGGGCUCGCAAGUGUGUCGUUCUUUUUUUUCUUUUUACCUUUUAUUUUUUACCCACAGGACUCCGUUCGUUAGAGGCCCUGUCCGGCAGCAGACCUGCCGAACUCACGAUGCAACAGCCAGGGAAGGAUACAGGCUACAACGAAUAUACAGGUGGUCUCCAUUACGAGCAUUUUUAUACACCAAUCCGCAGCCUACCCCUGGAGGGGGAUAUGUUUAACAGUCCGAUCCCUUGCUUAUCGCACUAUUUGUAUCGUUCUGCAUUCAUAGCAGCACUUAUUGAAUAAAACAAUGCAGCACCUUUCUGCUUAUAAUUGCAUUUCCCUUUCAUACAUAUGUUCAUUUACGACAUGUUGCAUCCGUACACUUUGGUACGGUUAACACACAGCAGGGGCUUAUGUUUCCCGCAUCAUGGUGUGAUAAGUCCGAACACUUUCACAAGUGCGGCACCCUGAACUUAUAGCAUUAUAUGCAUCGGCUCCGAAUCAUGUCUUGGGUCAAUAGUUGGGUUUGCCCGGCUCCCAUGUUUUGGUACCUUACGUUCCGUUAUAUCGGCUAAGGUAGCACUGGGAGAACCACUGCGAUUGCGCCCCGGUUGAGCUGGGUUAACGCCUCAGUGGAGAAAGCUAAAACUGACCGUCAUGAUGAGGCGAGAGCCGGUCACUGUUCGAGAGGUUUUUGCGAGUCCUUAAAGACUUAUGCCGCUUAGAGCGAGGAGCCGGAUCUUGUCCGGCCCAGGCGUGGAUAGCGCCCCAAAUUCGGCCUUCCGAAGACUAGGGGCUUCGCCGAAAUUUAAAAUUAUAGAAUUCUAUGGCUAAGUGAGAGUGUUCAAGCAUUAUAAGUCUGGUUGCCUUGUUCGUUGUGUUGAGCGCCUCCCUAGAUGGACCCAAAUAUGGGAACAAGAGCGCUCAAAUUUAUCCCAAACACCCCAGCACUCGUGGCGUGGGGGCUGAAGCCGACGACUUGCCAUCUCUCGGAUUUGAUAAACAGCCGCACAGAAGGUAAUAUUUUAAAUUAAAAAGCGUUGCUUAGCGCAAAUGAACUAAGUUUUCAGCGCACAUGAUAACAAAAUGCGAGUCUACUCAAAUAUUACAUCUUUGGAGCACUCACCCGCAAUAGUGCGGGCGCCCUUCAGCACACUCUUAUAAUACAUCUCGGGCGUGCAAUGCUCCUUGCCCUCUGGUGGUGGGUCUGUCACAAGCUUCUGGGCAUCCAUCUUGCCCUAGUGCACCUUUGUGCGGGCAAGGGCCCGACGGGCACCCUCAAUACAGGCGGAGUGCUUGAUGACUUCAACCCACGGGCACGCCUCCACCAGCCGCCGCACCAGGCCGAAGUAGCUCCCAGGCAUGGCCUCCUUAGGCCACAGCCGAACUAUGAGGCCCUUCAUGGCCUGUUCGGCCGCCUUGUGGAGCUCGACCAGCUACUUCAGCUGGUCGCUAAGGGGCACCGGAUGUCCGGCCUCAGCAUACUGAGACCAGAAGACCUUCUCCGUCAAGCUCCCCUCCUCGGCCCGGUAGAAUGCGGCAGCAUCGGACACGCUACGAGGAAGAUCUGCGAACGCUCCUGGAGAGCUCCGAAUUCGGGUAAGCAAUAGGUAAUGAACACUCACAUGCUUACUUUGCAUGAAAAAUGCCUUACUCGCUGCUAUUUUCUUCACCGCCUCAAUCUCCUGGAGGGCCGUGUAGGCUUCGGCCUUAGCGGCUUUGGCACUCUCAAGAGCCGUUGCAAGCUCGGACUCUCGAGUCUUCGAGUCAUGCUCCAGGCUCUCAUGUUUUUUCACGAGAUCCUGGAGCUCUUGUUGUACCUCCGCCACCCGCGCCUCCUGUUUCUCUCGCUCCGUGCACUCUGCGGCCACAUUUCGUUCGACCGCGGUCACCGCCUAUUUCAGGGUCGCCACCUCAUUAGUGGCCCCUGCAAUACCCACGUUAUCCUUGUCAUUCUUUUUGCAACCAAAAUCCUUUUUUGUAAGGUACAAUUUUAAUAAGGUGUUACUCACCUUCCUUAUCCUCGAGCUACUUCUUUGCACGGCCGAGCUUGUUCUCGGACCGCUCGAGGUUUUCCUUCAAAGUAUUGACCUCCGCAGUCAGUGCGGCAGAGGUCAGCAGCGCAGCCUGCAAUCCCAUAUUGAUAUAUUUUUUAUGACUCCUGCGUAUAUCUUUUUUAAGAUCCUCAGUCCGGCUUUUCUUUCCGAACACCGAACCGAGCAUCAGGGGCUACUGUCUAUGCGGUACCAUUUUAUACAUAUUGAAAUUCUUACCUCAAAGCCUGUUAGAAGGCUGCUGCAGGCUUCGGUCGUCCCACUCUUGGCGAGCUGCACCUUCUGAAUCACCGCACUCAUAACAGUGCAGUGUUCUUCUUCGAUGGAGGCGCCGUUGAGUGCCUCCAGCAAGUUAUCCGGCACCUCCGGUUGGACGGAGGAAGCCGGCGUCACGGUCUUGCCCUUCUUGCGAAGGGGUCGCCCGCCGGACUCCGGAGCCCCUGUGGGUUCCGGGGCCGAGUCCGGUGCAAAGUCCGGGAGGUUGUCCUGCGAUACCUCCAGGGCCCUCUCCUCCUGGUGGGUCCCUUCCUGGGAUCCCACCUCGGCAUCAUCCACAUUACGGGGGGUCGAGGCCGUCGGAAGAGAAUCCAUAUCCGACGCACCUAAGGACCCGCUCGACGAGGCGGGAAGAUCAUCCUUAGGCGGACUGCAGGGUUGUAUGCGGCAUUAGAAAAACAUUAUGUGGCGAAAAAUAAAAACCUUGAAGUUAUUCGGGAGUCCGAAUACUUACGAUCUCGCCAGGGGCUUGGCCCUUGGAGGCCAGUCCUCGUCGUCGUCACUAUCGUUGGCGGAGCAGUUCGAGGGAAGAGUUUUUCCCUUNNNNNNNNNNNNNNNNNNNNNNNNNNNNNNNNNNNNNNNNNNNNNNNNNNNNNNNNNNNNNNNNNNNNNNNNNNNNNNNNNNNNNNNNNNNNNNNNNNNNNNNNNNNNNNNNNNNNNNNNNNNNNNNNNNNNNNNNNNNNNNNNNNNNNNNNNNNNNNNNNNNNNNNNNNNNNNNNNNNNNNNNNNNNNNNNNNNNNNNNNNNNNNNNNNNNNNNNNNNNNNNNNNNNNNNNNNNNNNNNNNNNNNNNNNNNNNNNNNNNNNNNNNNNNNNNNNNNNNNNNNNNNNNNNNNNNNNNNNNNNNNNNNNNNNNNNNNNNNNNNNNNNAGUCCCUGUGGCCUUCUUCUUGGCCUUCUUCUCCGGCACCACAUGGGGUGCCAGAGCCAGCAGCCCCGUUAGGCGGGCGUCCACUGGGUCCUCUGGCAAUGGGGCCGGACAGAUAGUCCGUUUGGCCUUCGCCAGCCAUUCCUGUCAAAGGUAAAGGGAGUUUAGAUCCUGCAUAGAGUCAAACUAUGGAAAACAAGCGGUGAAAUCACCUACCUCGUCGGCUGGACGCUGCGAGCGGAAUCCGCGAUCUUCAGUAGCGGAUGCAGGAGCUUCGGCGCCCUUGAACAGCACCUUCCAGACAUCUUCGUAUGUAGUGUCGAAGAGCCCGCUCAGGGUCUGGUGCUGCGCCGGAUCAAACUCCCACAUGUUGAAGCCCCGUCGUUGGCACGGGAGAAUCCGGCGAUGAGCAUGACCUGGACUAUGUUGACAAGCUUGAGCUUCUUGUCCACCAGCUUCUGGAUACAGGCUUGGAGUCCGGUCAACUCCUCCGAAUCCCCCCAGAUCCGGCCGCUCUCUUUCCAGGAGGUGAGCCGUGUAGGGAUGCCGGAUCUGAAUUCGGGGGCCGCUGCCCAAUCAGGGUCACGCGGCUCGGUGAUGUAGAACCACCCCGAUUGCCACCCCUUGAUGGUUUCUACGAAAGUGCCCUCCAGCCACGUAACGUGGGACAUCCUGCCCACCAUGGCGCCUCCGCACUCCGCUUGGCUGCCCUUCACAACCUUCGGCUUGACACUGAAGGUCUUGAGCCACAAGCCGAAGUGGGGCUGGAUGCAGAGGAAGGCCUCACACACGACGAUAAAUGCCGAGAUGUUGAGGAUGAAAUUCGGGGCCAGAUCAUGGAAAUCUAGGCCGUAGUACAACAUGAGCCCCCAGACAAAGGGAUGAAGUGGGAAGCCCAGUCCAUGAAGGAAAUGGGGGAGAAAUACUACCCUCUCAUGGGGCCUGGGGGUGGGGAUGAGCUCUCCCUCGUCGGGGAGCCGAUGCGCGAUGUCGCUGGACAAGUAUCCGGCGUUGCGCAGCUUCUGGAUCUGCCCCUCCGUGACGGAGGAGGCCAUCCACUUGCCUCCCGCUCCGGACAUAGUUGGAGAAGGUUGAGGUGAGAAGUGCGGACUUGGGCGCUGGAGCUCGAGUUCGCGGAGAUGGAUAAGCCAAGGAGGAAGAAGGCGCAGGUAAAAGGAGCGGAUCUUUAUCCCCUUAUAUGGGCGGACAAAAACAUGUGUCCCCACCGGCCUGGUAAAACUCGCUUAUCUCCCAAGCAUCACAAUCAAUGGCGCGGUUGGGUUACCCACGUCCGUAUUGAUGGGAAUCCCGGAAUAAGGGGAACACGAUCUCUACUUCGACAAGACGUGCCAAGGAAACCGCCUCGCUAAACAUGCGGAGGUGGAACAAUAAAAACAAUUCGAGUAAAGGCUUGGUAAUGGUGUGAUGUCAUGCCACAAAAUACGUCAGCAGAUUGAACUUGUGUGAUAUUAUUCUCUCUACGGUGGUAUGUGGAAUUUAUUUUGCAGAGUCGGACACUAUCCUGGUGUUCACAAUCUUCUAUAUGUUAUUCGGAGGAAGAACCCGCCUUGCAAUGCCGAAGACAACAUGCGCGCCGGACUCGUCGUCAUUGAAGCCUGGUUCAGGGGCUACUGAGGGAGUUCCGGACUAGGGGGUGUCCGGAUAGCCGAACUAUCAUCAUCGGCCGGACUCCAAGACUAUGAAGAUACAAGAUUGAAGACUUCGUCCCGUGUCCGGAUGGGACUUUCCUUGGCAUGGAAGGCAAGCUUGGCGAUACGGAUAUGUAGAUCUCCUACCAUUGUAACCGACUCUGUGUAACCCUAGCCCUCUCCGGUGUCUAUAUAAACCGGAUGGCUUUAGUCCUUAGGACGAACAACAAUCAUACCAUAGGCUAGCUUCUAGGGUUUGGCCUCAUUGAUCUCGUGGUAGAUCCACUCUUGUAACACACAUCAUCAAUAUUAAUCAGGCAGGACGUAGGGUUUUACCUCCAUCAAGAGGGCCCAAACCUGGGUAAAACAUCGUGUCCCUUGUCUCCUGUUACCAUCUGCCUAGACGCACAGUUCGGGACCCCCUACCCGAGAUCCGCCGCUUUUGACACCGACAACAAUCCUGCUAAAUUUGAGGAGAAGUGGAGCUCAAAACAACAUAGUUGCUUUGUAAGUGUAAAUUUGGUCCAGAAAAUGGAUUUGGAUGAUGCACUCACAUAGAGAAGCAACUUGGAAUCAAAUUUGGCAAUGCAGGGUUAUUUGGCUAUAUAAAGAUGCUGUAAAAAUUUCAUACCAAAUGGACUUGCCAAAAUGGUACUUGCUUCACAAACAUCCUCGCUGACCAGAAAAUUGCAAAAAUUUUGGAGGGAAAAUGGCUUAAGGAAAUGAUCCCAAAUUUGGGGGAGAGAUGUUAUUUGGGUAGGAGCAUUGUAACAUCCCAAAUUUUCAAUUUGGAAUGUUAUACAUUAGAUCAUCAUUCCAUAUCAUAUUUUAUUGCAUUUUGGCUUGAUCUUAGAAAUUCUACGCAACUCAAGGACCCGCGAAGAGAGUUGGGGAUUUCGUUAUUUUCAUAUUUGAGUUUUCUCAAAUUUUGAAAAGAGGACCAUUUGAUUUUAAUUAUUUUCUAUUCGAAUAUUUCUUUUAUAAAAAUAAAAUAGAGGGGAUAAAAUGACUUUCCCAAAAUAAAGAAAUAUUGGCGAUUUAAUAUUAAAAUCAAAUAAGAGUUUUAUUCGGAGUUUUAUUCCUAUUUUAUUUGAAUUAGGAAAAAUAUGCGUUUCUCAUAAUUGCAUUAGAGGCCCAAAUAAAUGUUCACUUUGUCCGCUGUAUUCUUAGAGGACGGGGAAAAUUUAUUUUAGGAUUUUUGGAGUCCCUUUAGUAUUUCUUUUAUUUGUCUUUUCGCGCGCGGAAUUAUUUAAAAAAAAGUUACCGACCUAACGGGCCGUGUCCGACCCGGACACUCCAGCCCGGCCGGACUUUAAGAGGCGAGGCCCGAGCCGCCCCAAACCCUAGCCGCCAGCCCCUAAUCCACUGCCGCCGCCAGCCUCCGCCGCCGCCGCCGCCUCUCGCCCGCGCCGCCGAUCCUCCAGCCACCCGCCGCCGCCGGCGGCCAUCACCAGAGUCGCCGUCGUCUCGCCGCCCACCGACCCCGCCGACGAGGUAGUCGCCGGAUCUGCCACCGGUUUUCUCUAGAAAACUGUGCGGUUUCUUUUUAGAACCGCGGUUGAUUUUUUUAUUUUUAGAUCGGUUUUAUUUUAUUUAUUUUUUCUGGUUUAGUUAUUUAGCGAACGCCCGUUUGUUAGUUUGUUUUAACGAACGGUUUUCACCCGUUAGCCGCAGACAGCGAAUGUUCGUUCGCUAGCCUGUUCGUCAGUUUUUCUUUUUUCAGGGUUUUCCCGCGAUUAUUUUCGAUCGCGAUUUCUGUCCUGAUUUUCGUUUUAGUUUAUCUUUUCGCUUGUUUAUCGAAAUCAGGCGAUUCAAGCGCCUAGAGUUUCAUCUCGAAGCCCUCUUUCUAUUUAACCAACUUAAACAAGAUUUUGCUACUUAAAAUUUGACUUAAGUCCAAAUUAGUAAACAGAGCUUGUUUCUUUCAUUGAAGUUUCGUUGCUUCGUUUGAUUUGAUUCUUUUUGCAAAGCAAAGUUCUUAAGUUGAACUUUCUGGUAGAUCUCUUAUUUGAAUUUUACCCAUGCUUCUAGUUGAGUGCUUAUUGUAUGCUUUUUUAUUGCGAUAGAGUACCCAGAGUGCGAAGCGUGCUACUACGAGUCUCUAGGUUUCACGUAUCAUCAGCAAGGCAAGUAACACUUUGAUCAUACCUCUUUACUACCCAGUUUUAUUGCAUUAGAUCAAUCCUCAAACAAUUGCAUGGUUAGGAUUUGAUUUUAACAUGUGGUUUUUGGGAAGUAGAUGAGGUAGUACCUAUUGUCCUGUUUAUUAUCAAACCUUUGGGGGUUACUUCUACGUUGCUUAUAUUGCUAUGCUAUGCUUGUAGACGUGGAUUGGGUGAGUGUAUCCAUGACAGAUAUGAGUAUUGUUAUUUAAUGGUUUAACUUAAGAUGGCUACUUAAAUAGACAUCUGGGUGGAUUGAGGCACCUGGGGAACCCAGUGUUGCCUGUUUUUUUGGAAAUCUCGGAGUUACGGUGUGAUUAUCCUAUGGACUGCCACCCAGGCUCAAAGGGAUUAUAAGAUUAUUCAUGCUAGAAACUUCCGUGUGCAGCCACAAGCUAUUGUGGGCUCUAGCAUAGUUGAGUAAGUUGCAAGACCUCUUUCAGUGGUGGGCUAGCAGAUGUUGGGGAAAAUAGGUGUAACUGUCCACCCAGAGUAAAGAGUUAUUGUUUUAGAAAGACUGUGUCUCGAUUCUCCGAUCAUGGAUGUAUUCGAGUCUUGUGGGGAAAAGAGCACAAACCUCUGUAGAGUGUAUAAACUAAUCAUGGUUAGCCGUGUCCCCGGUUAUGACAGUUUUGAGUAUCUAGUUCUUGGAUUAUCAUGUUGAUCUCAUCACUCUUAAUUUAAUUUGAUUGGGUUUAAUGAUGAUGCUUAAUUGGGAUUGAGUUGGAGGAACCUUCACAAUGUUUAACAACCACCAUGAUAGUUAAAUAAAGUUAUUCCUUUGUUGUAGGGGAAAAUUGGCUUUAUGCAAAAUAAUAAUCAUAGAGCUUUCCACCAGCCAUAUAUGCAUGUAGUGAUAGCAAUUAUUUAUGUUCAUUACUCUAUGUGUUACAUUGCCAGCAUAUUCCAUGUGCUGACCCGUUUCGGGCUGCAACGUUCAUGUUGCAGACUUUUCGGACGACGAGUAAGGUGCCUUAGGUCGUGAUCUUUCACUCAGUCAUGCUGUUGGAUUUGAUGGACUCACUUUAUCUUCCAAGCCUUCUGUUGUUAUCGAUUUUAGAUCGACG